GGUUAAGCGACUAAGCGUACACGGUGGAUGCCCUGGCAGUCAGAGGCGAUGAAGGACGUGCUAAUCUGCGAUAAGCGUCGGUAAGGUGAUAUGAACCGUUAUAACCGGCGAUUUCCGAAUGGGGAAACCCAGUGUGUUUCGACACACUAUCAUUAACUGAAUCCAUAGGUUAAUGAGGCGAACCGGGGGAACUGAAACAUCUAAGUACCCCGAGGAAAAGAAAUCAACCGAGAUUCCCCCAGUAGCGGCGAGCGAACGGGGAGCAGCCCAGAGCCUGAAUCAGUAUGUGUGUUAGUGGAAGCGUCUGGAAAGGCGCGCGAUACAGGGUGACAGCCCCGUACACAAAAAUGCACAUAUUGUGAGCUCGAUGAGUAGGGCGGGACACGUGGUAUCCUGUCUGAAUAUGGGGGGACCAUCCUCCAAGGCUAAAUACUCCUGACUGACCGAUAGUGAACCAGUACCGUGAGGGAAAGGCGAAAAGAACCCCGGCGAGGGGAGUGAAAAAGAACCUGAAACCGUGUACGUACAAGCAGUGGGAGCACGCUUAGGCGUGUGACUGCGUACCUUUUGUAUAAUGGGUCAGCGACUUAUAUUCUGUAGCAAGGUUAACCGAAUAGGGGAGCCGAAGGGAAACCGAGUCUUAACUGGGCGUUAAGUUGCAGGGUAUAGACCCGAAACCCGGUGAUCUAGCCAUGGGCAGGUUGAAGGUUGGGUAACACUAACUGGAGGACCGAACCGACUAAUGUUGAAAAAUUAGCGGAUGACUUGUGGCUGGGGGUGAAAGGCCAAUCAAACCGGGAGAUAGCUGGUUCUCCCCGAAAGCUAUUUAGGUAGCGCCUCGUGAAUUCAUCUCCGGGGGUAGAGCACUGUUUCGGCAAGGGGGUCAUCCCGACUUACCAACCCGAUGCAAACUGCGAAUACCGGAGAAUGUUAUCACGGGAGACACACGGCGGGUGCUAACGUCCGUCGUGAAGAGGGAAACAACCCAGACCGCCAGCUAAGGUCCCAAAGUCAUGGUUAAGUGGGAAACGAUGUGGGAAGGCCCAGACAGCCAGGAUGUUGGCUUAGAAGCAGCCAUCAUUUAAAGAAAGCGUAAUAGCUCACUGGUCGAGUCGGCCUGCGCGGAAGAUGUAACGGGGCUAAACCAUGCACCGAAGCUGCGGCAGCGACGCUUAUGCGUUGUUGGGUAGGGGAGCGUUCUGUAAGCCUGCGAAGGUGUGCUGUGAGGCAUGCUGGAGGUAUCAGAAGUGCGAAUGCUGACAUAAGUAACGAUAAAGCGGGUGAAAAGCCCGCUCGCCGGAAGACCAAGGGUUCCUGUCCAACGUUAAUCGGGGCAGGGUGAGUCGACCCCUAAGGCGAGGCCGAAAGGCGUAGUCGAUGGGAAACAGGUUAAUAUUCCUGUACUUGGUGUUACUGCGAAGGGGGGACGGAGAAGGCUAUGUUGGCCGGGCGACGGUUGUCCCGGUUUAAGCGUGUAGGCUGGUUUUCCAGGCAAAUCCGGAAAAUCAAGGCUGAGGCGUGAUGACGAGGCACUACGGUGCUGAAGCAACAAAUGCCCUGCUUCCAGGAAAAGCCUCUAAGCAUCAGGUAACAUCAAAUCGUACCCCAAACCGACACAGGUGGUCAGGUAGAGAAUACCAAGGCGCUUGAGAGAACUCGGGUGAAGGAACUAGGCAAAAUGGUGCCGUAACUUCGGGAGAAGGCACGCUGAUAUGUAGGUGAAGCGACUUGCUCGUGGAGCUGAAAUCAGUCGAAGAUACCAGCUGGCUGCAACUGUUUAUUAAAAACACAGCACUGUGCAAACACGAAAGUGGACGUAUACGGUGUGACGCCUGCCCGGUGCCGGAAGGUUAAUUGAUGGGGUUAGCGCAAGCGAAGCUCUUGAUCGAAGCCCCGGUAAACGGCGGCCGUAACUAUAACGGUCCUAAGGUAGCGAAAUUCCUUGUCGGGUAAGUUCCGACCUGCACGAAUGGCGUAAUGAUGGCCAGGCUGUCUCCACCCGAGACUCAGUGAAAUUGAACUCGCUGUGAAGAUGCAGUGUACCCGCGGCAAGACGGAAAGACCCCGUGAACCUUUACUAUAGCUUGACACUGAACAUUGAGCCUUGAUGUGUAGGAUAGGUGGGAGGCUUUGAAGUGUGGACGCCAGUCUGCAUGGAGCCGACCUUGAAAUACCACCCUUUAAUGUUUGAUGUUCUAACGUUGACCCGUAAUCCGGGUUGCGGACAGUGUCUGGUGGGUAGUUUGACUGGGGCGGUCUCCUCCUAAAGAGUAACGGAGGAGCACGAAGGUUGGCUAAUCCUGGUCGGACAUCAGGAGGUUAGUGCAAUGGCAUAAGCCAGCUUGACUGCGAGCGUGACGGCGCGAGCAGGUGCGAAAGCAGGUCAUAGUGAUCCGGUGGUUCUGAAUGGAAGGGCCAUCGCUCAACGGAUAAAAGGUACUCCGGGGAUAACAGGCUGAUACCGCCCAAGAGUUCAUAUCGACGGCGGUGUUUGGCACCUCGAUGUCGGCUCAUCACAUCCUGGGGCUGAAGUAGGUCCCAAGGGUAUGGCUGUUCGCCAUUUAAAGUGGUACGCGAGCUGGGUUUAGAACGUCGUGAGACAGUUCGGUCCCUAUCUGCCGUGGGCGCUGGAGAACUGAGGGGGGCUGCUCCUAGUACGAGAGGACCGGAGUGGACGCAUCACUGGUGUUCGGGUUGUCAUGCCAAUGGCACUGCCCGGUAGCUAAAUGCGGAAGAGAUAAGUGCUGAAAGCAUCUAAGCACGAAACUUGCCCCGAGAUGAGUUCUCCCUGACUCCUUGAGAGUCCUGAAGGAACGUUGAAGACGACGACGUUGAUAGGCCGGGUGUGUAAGCGCAGCGAUGCGUUGAGCUAACCGGUACUAAUGAACCGUGAGGCUUAACCUU
rnacentral:rRNA from 1 species